GAUGAAGAACGCAGCGAAAUGCGAUAAGUAAUGUGAAUUGCAGAAUUCAGUGAAUCAUCGAAUCUUUGAACGCACCUUGCACCCUUUGGCAUUCCGAAGGGUAUGCUCGUUUGAGUGUCAUUGUACUCUCACACUUCCGAUCUUUGGAUUGGGAGCGGUGGACUUGGGUGUUGCUGCUUACUGUGGCUCACCUCAAAUCGAUUCGUGCACCUCUUGGUUGGACAUAGUACGGCGUGAUAAGUGUCUUCUCCGGCACCUCAGUAGAGGGUGGCUGAUCGGGAGCUCUGCUUCAAACCGUCCUCGGACAACAACUGACAACUUGACCUCAAAUCGAGUAGGACUACCCGCUGAACUUAAGCAUAUCAAUAAGCGGAGGA
rnacentral:misc_RNA from 1 species